UUAGGGCUUCACACCCAGAGGCUUUUUUUUGUAGGUAUGGACUUGAUGCAGCUGCCACAAAAAUGCUGUACAUUUCGGUGAAACGUGGCCCCGGGGCUGCUGGUGAGACAUCCUGCCACGCUGUGAAAAAACAUGUCGUGAAAUCUUUUUUUUUGUGCAUAGUUUGGUGAGUUUUUUAGCAGGUUUAAGAAACCAAAAAUGCUCUUCAUCUGCAGAAAGAAAGAAGGACAGAUAAAAUAAAAGGCAGGACUUGGUGUUCUGUCCAUGAAGACCAUUGUGUCCCUGCAUCAGGACACCUGAGGGCUGAUCUAAGGUCAGCAUCAUCGUUACAUCAGGGACACGUUCCACAGACAGUGAAGAGCGGCUGCUCUGUCUGCGUAGGUUUCCUCUCUCACUCCUAAGACGACGUUCAUCAUCAAGCUUCCUGCUGACUGCUUGAUGGAAAACCACAACAAUACGAGUAGAACAGAAAGAGGAAGGAGUUCUGACUUCACUGCUGAGCUGCACAACCAACCAAGCCUCUCUGACUGCGAGUCCCAGCAGCUCUCAGCUGUUCAGAGGAAACUCUGUCUCUCUGAGCUGUGAGGACGGCGGCGGCG